rnacentral:rRNA from 1 species
CAGUCGCCGCGGGAAUACGAAGGGUGCAAGCGUUAAUCGGAAUUACUGGGCGUAAAGCGUGCGUAGGCGGUGAGUUAAGUCUGCUGUGAAAUCCCCGGGCUCAACCUGGGAAUGGCAGUGGAUACUGGCUCGCUAGAGUGUGUCAGAGGAUGGUGGAAUUCCCGGUGUAGCAGUGAAAUGCGUAGAGAUCGGAAGGAACAUCUGUGGCGAAGGCGACUAUCUGGGCCAUUACUGACACUGAGGCACGAAAGCGUGGGGAGCAAACAGGAUUAGAUACCCCCGUAGUCCCUGUCUCUUAUAA